rnacentral:rRNA from 1 species
UGGGGAAUAUUGGACAAUGGGCGAAAGCCUGAUCCAGCAAUGCCGCGUGAGUGAUGAAGGCCUUCGGGUUGUAAAGCUCUGUCGGGAGGGACGAAUAGGGUGGUGUAAUGGCCACUUCUGACGGUACCUCCAAAGGAAGCACCGGCUAACUCUGUGCCAGCAGCCGCGGUAAUACAGAGGGUGCAAGCGUUGUUCGGAAUUACUGGGCGUAAAGCGCGUGUAGGCGGCGUCGUGAGUCAUAUGUGAAAGCCCUCGGCUCAACCGAGGAAGUGCAUGUGAUACUGCGAUGCUUGAGUGUUGGAGGGGGUGGCGGAAUUCCCGGUGUAGAGGUGAAAUUCGUAGAUAUCGGGAGGAACACCUGUGGCGAAGGCGGCCACCUGGACAACAACUGACGCUGAGACGCGAAAGCGUGGGUAGCAAACAGGAUUAGAUACCCCCGUAGUCCCUGAGCGGGCUGGCAAGGCGCAU